GGCGGCAGGCCUANCACAUGCAAGUCGAACGGAUCCUUCGGGAUUAGUGGCGGACGGGUGAGUAACACGUGGGAACGUGCCCUUUGGUUCGGGACAACUCAGGGAAACUUGAGCUAAUACCGGAUGUGCCCUUCGGGGGAAAGAUUUAUCGCCAUUGGAGCGGCCCGCGUCUGAUUAGCUUGUUGGUGAGGUAAAGGCUCACCAAGGCUACGAUCAGUAGCUGGUCUGAGAGGGUGAUCAGCCACACUGGGACUGAGACACGGCCCAGACUCCUACGGGAGGCAGCAGUGGGGAAUCUUGCGCAAUGGGCGAAAGCCUGACGCAGCCAUGCCGCGUGAAUGAUGAAGGUCUUAGGAUUGUAAAAUUCUUUCAGCAGGGACGAUAAUGACGGUACCUGCAGAAUAAGCCCCGGCUAACUUCGUGCCAGCAGCCGCGGUAAUACGAAGGGGGCUAGCGUUGCUCGGAAUUACUGGGCGUAAAGGGCGCGUAGGCGGGUC
rnacentral:rRNA from 1 species